ACGGGAGGCAGCAGUGAGGAAUAUUGGUCAAUGGGCGGAAGCCUGAACCAGCCAAGUCGCGUGAAGGAAGAAGGUAUUAUGUAUUGUAAACUUCUUUAGGCGCAGGGAAAUAAGCGGGACGCGUCCCGCGAUGCUAGUAUGCGCAGAAUAAGGAUCGGCUAACCCCGUGCCAGCAGCCGCGGUAAUACGGAAGGUCCGGGCGUUAUCCGGAUUUAUUGGGUUUAAAGGGAGCGUAGGCCGUGCUUUAAGCGUGUUGUGAAAUGUAGGCGCCCAACGUCUGCACUGCAGCGCGAACUGGAGCACUUGAGUACGCAGGAAGUAGGCGGAAUUCGUCGUGUAGCGGUGAAAUGCUUAGAUAUGACGAAGAACUCCGAUUGGGAAGCCAGCUUACUGUAGCGCCACUGACGCUGAUGCUCGAAAGCGUGGGUAUCGAACAGGAUUAGAUACCCUGGUA
rnacentral:rRNA from 1 species